GCUGGCGGCGUGCUUAAGACAUGCAGGUCGAACGGUAAGGCUUGUCACUCUUCGGAGUGACUCGCACACGAGUGGCGCACGGGUGAGUAACGCGUGGUAAUCUGCCUUCGGGUUUGGGACAACUCCGGGAAACUGGAGCUAAUACCAAAUAAGACCACGAGGUCCUCGGGCCUUGCGGAAAAAGGUGGCCUCUUCUUGAAAGCUAUCGCCUGUAGAUGAGCCCGCGUCCCAUUAGCUUGUUGGUGAGGUAAAAGCUCACCAAGGCAUCGAUGGGUAGCUGGUCUGAGAGGAUGAUCAGCCACACUGGAACUGAGACACGGUCCAGACUCCUACGGGAGGCAGCAGUCGGGAAUCUUGCACAAUGGGCGAAAGCCUGAUGCAGCAACGCCGCGUGAGGGAUGAAGGCCCUCGGGUCGUAAACCUCUGUCGGAGGGGAAGAAAGUACUCCGGGCCAAUACCCCGGAGUAUUGACGGUACCUUCAAAGGAAGCGCCGGCUAACUCCGUG
rnacentral:rRNA from 1 species